rnacentral:rRNA from 1 species
GAUGAACGCUAGCUACAGGCUUGACACAUGCAAGUCGCGGGGCAGCAUGGGGGUUGCUUGCAAUCCCCGAUGGCGACCGGCGCACGGGUGAGUAACGCGUAUCCAACCUGCCCUUCACCACGGGAUAACCCGGCGAAAGUCGGACUAAUACCGUAUGUUGUCCAUUGACGGCAUCCGAUUUGGACGAAAGGCUUGGCGGUGAGGGAUGGGGAUGCGUCCGAUUAGCCAGACGGCGGGGUAACGGCCCACCGUGGCUACGAUCGGUAGGGGUUCUGGGAGGAAGGUCCCCCACACUGGAACUGAGACACGGUCCAGACUCCUACGGGAGGCAGCAGUGAGGAAUAUUGGUCAAUGGGCGUAAGCCUGAACCAGCCAAGUAGCGUGCAGGAUGACGGCCCUAUGGGUUGUAAACUGCUUUUAUGCGGGGAUAAAGUGGCCCACGUGUGGGCUUUUGCAGGUACCGCAUGAAUAAGGACCGGCUAAUUCCGUG